rnacentral:rRNA from 1 species
AGUGAACGCUGGCGGCAGGCCUAACACAUGCAAGUCGAGCGGCAGCGGGUCCUUCGGGAUGCCGGCGAGCGGCGGACGGGUGAGGAAUGCGUCGGAAUCUGCCUUUUUGUGGGGGAUAACGUAGGGAAACUUACGCUAAUACCGCAUACGACCUACGGGUGAAAGUGGGGGACCGCAAGGCCUCACGCAGAAAGAUGAGCCGACGUCGGAUUAGCUAGUUGGCGGGGUAAAGGCCCACCAAGGCGACGAUCCGUAGCUGGUCUGAGAGGAUGAUCAGCCACACUGGAACUGAGACACGGUCCAGACUCCUACGGGAGGCAGCAGUGGGGAAUAUUGGACAAUGGGCGCAAGCCUGAUCCAGCCAUGCCGCGUGUGUGAAGAAGGCUUUCGGGUUGUAAAGCACUUUUGUCCGGAAAGAAAUCCUGUCGGCUAAUACCCGGCGGGGAUGACGGUACCGGAAGAAUAAGCACCGGCUAACUUCGUG